CGGCAUUAAGCCAACCAUGCUCUCUUCCCCGUGGGGGCCUGGUGUGCAAUGGCUGCAAACAGUUGUAUUCUGAUGUAUUUUUAAGUAUUU
rnacentral:snoRNA from 1 species